rnacentral:snRNA from 1 species
GUUCAAUCCUGAACAGGUUCAUAAACUGAAGCAAUACGAGGAAGAUUAACACCUCCUGCACAAGGAUGACGCGCAAACUUGUUUGGUUUUCCAAAACCUU